CUUAUUCUUCUCUUUCUUCUUCAGUUUCUUCUUUUCCCCUGUUCUUCUUCUUCUACGAGUGUUUGAGAGAUCAAAAAGAAGCUUUGUGAUUGGUAGGAGGUGGAGAAGUUCAAGGAGUAGUUGAUAGUGAUGGUGUUGUGGUUUUUUGUUGAUUCAGAAUCGAAGGAGGAAGUAAAUCAGUGAGUUAGGGUUUAUGUUCUUUGGUUAAAGCUUGAUUUGAGAUGUCAAUUGAAGAUGGGUUCGUAGUUUCGAGAGUUUGAAUAGAAGAAUAAGAUGGAUGUGUCAAUUUGUAGAUUAGGUUUCAGAGAAGAAGAGUAAUUCGAUAAUUAGGGUUUAGUAUGAAAUUAAGAAGUGAAGUGAGUUACUAAUGGGAGAAGAAUUGAGGGGUUGUUAUCGAGUUGAUGAGGUGAAGUUGUUCUGAAGGUGAAUCGAAGAAUUAGGGUUUGUUCUUAAGAUGAAGAAUUUCAGAAAAGGGUGAUGAACCAGUUAAGACUGUGAUGAGUUAUGGUGGUGGUGCUAACUCGGGAAUUGACUUAACGCAGAAUGAUGAGGCAAAGAUGAAAUAAGGGAUUCAACAGAAUUAAUUUGAUAUCUAAGAAAUUCAGAAGAAGAUAAUGUUUGGGUAAGCCUCUAUUUUAUCUCAAUUUUAGUAUUUUGAAUUGAAUUGUUGUGAUUUCUAAGAUUGAGAUAAUUAAAAGAUGAAACUGUGAUUGUGGAUAGUAAGAAGAUGAUUUUGUAAUUGUUCUAACUGAAGUUGUUUUGAUUGGAGAGAAGAAAUUAUAUAUGGUUGGAUUUCAGUUGUGAAUGAUUGUUGCAGGUCGGGGAAGUGAUUUUAGUGGUGGUGUUGAAGUUAUAGUUGAAAGAGUUGGUGGUGUUACAGGUUCUGUAAGAAGAUUAUAUGGGUGUGUGUUUGUUGAUGAAACUCCAGGGGAUUGGUACUGUUGGUUAGUGUAACAUGAGUUGAUAAUGAGUAAAAUAAAUUGAAGUUUUAGAUGACUGUUGGUAGAUUACAUGUGAGCAGAUUCGUUGGUGGUGUUGUUGUGUUUUGAGAUGGCAGUGGAACUGGAAUUGCAGGUGUAGCUGUCAUAUAUAGUUAAAUGAGAUGGCAAUGGUUGUGGUGCUGCUGAUAUGAAUGGUGUGUAUGGAAUACAAGAACUGUUGAUGGGUUAUGCUGAGUGUUGUUCAGCCGAGAAUUGUUGUUUGAGAUGGUUCAAUAGUAGUGAGGUAAUGGUGUUGUUAUUGGAAUUGUGUUCUCAAGCUAGAUGUAUUUUAGAAUGGGAGUUGUAAUGAGUUUAUUGUGACUGUAGAAGUAUGAAUGUAGAAAGAUGAUGCUUAGAGCUGCAAUUACAGUUAGUCUUUAUUAACAAUGAUCGAUUCAAAAGAUGAUCCAGUGGAUUUCGCGGUCUUGUCAUCAACAGAGUUUCAGAGACAGAUCAGAGUUGCAUAGCGGAAGCUUCAAGGAUUGAGUUCGUUAGUUGGUUAACUUCUGCUAUGUUUAUUAUGUUGUAUAAUUUAUUUGCAAACCAAAUGACUAUUGUAUAUGUAUCAUUUGAGAGGAGUUUUUGUAUUUAUAUACUUCAGA